rnacentral:rRNA from 1 species
UACGUAGGGGGCAAGCGUUGUCCGGAUUUAUUGGGCGUAAAGAGCGUGUAGGCGGCCUUACAGGUCAGCUGUGAAAACUCGAGGCUCAACCUCGAGAGGUCGGUUGAAACCGUAAGGCUAGAGUCCGGAAGAGGAGAGUGGAAUUCCCGGUGUAGCGGUGAAAUGCGCAGAUAUCGGGAAGAACACCCGUGCCGAAGGCGGC